GACGAACGUUGGCGGCGUGCUUAAUACAUGCAAGUCAACUGAAGCAGUGGUAGCAAUAUCGCUGUGGAGGUGGCGCACGGGUGAGUAACACGUAGGUAAUCUGCCUUCAGGUCUGGCAUAACUCCGGGAAACCGGGGCUAAUAGCAGAUGAUGCAGCGGCUCGACAUCGAGACAGUUGUUAAAGCUAUGGCGCCUGAAGAUGAGCCUGCGUCUGAUUAGCUAGUUGGCGGGGUAACGGCCCACCAAGGCAACGAUCAGUAGCUGGUCUGAGAGGAUGAUCAGCCACACUGGAACUGAGACACGGUCCAGACUCCUACGGGAGGCAGCAGUAAGGAAUAUUGCUCAAUGGGAGAAAUCCUGAAGCAGCAACGCCGCGUGAGGGACGAAGGGCCUUUGCUUGUAAACCUCUGUAGUGAGAGAAAAAAAUCCCAAUCUUUGGGACAUGAUGGUAUCUCAAAAGUAAGCCCCGGCUAACUACGUG
rnacentral:rRNA from 1 species